UCGAAGAGAACGACGGAAGAGAAGAGGAGAAGCGGAAGGCGAGAGCGUAGCGGCGGCGACACCAUGCUCCUUUCCUCCCUCUCGUCCUCUUCUCUCCACCCUGUCUCCCUCCCUCGACCUCCAACGGCCUCCUCGUGUCCCGGUGCCGCGUCCUCAGGGCUUCCUUAUCCUUCUCGGCAGUAUCUAUUCUCUUUUUUCGGUGGGGAUGCACCAUCCAAGAUGUAGAUGCAGAACUGCUGGUUAUUUAAAAGAAACGUGUGACCAUUGGGGCCACGGUUCUCAAUCUCAGUAAUGGACCCCAUAUCAGUACCACAUUUUGACACUCGAUAUGUCGUUUGUACUGAGUAUUGGUCGAGUACAAGUACAGUAUGGAUGGGGUACUGUGGUGCGGUGAACCUUGAUCAGAGCAAUCCCAAGUUCAGUUUCGUCAAGUUAAUUAUGUCAAAAUCUAAUUGUCAUUGAUUUGCUAAUAUGCAAGUUAUUGAUUAUGCUUUCCACCUUCCGAGAGCUGUUGUGGCACAUCUAACAUUCUGGAGGUAUCAGCAAGGAUCUCAAAUGAUGAUAUCCUGAUAAUUUUAUUUUUGUUAGAAAAUAUUCUUAUCAAAUUUCAUCACCUAAAGUUUAUAUUGAACUAAAUAGAUGAUAGUCAGGUUCAGACUGCUGUAAUGAUGCCUCAUUUUGUAUAUUUCUUUUCUGUGUUUGGGAAAAUAUUAAUUUUUAAUUUCCUGU